GACUGCAUGGGUGCGCUGGAGAAAACAGAGGAGCAGAGGAUAGCCAUUCGAGGGGACUGAUGGGGACAGCGGUCAUCAAGGCCCUGGGGCCCUGGGUACCGGAAAUGGGCAUCGGAACCGUGUCCCGUCCCCUUGCUGUAAACAACACAGCAAUGGACAUCUCGCACAUGCGGGGGGCAGGCUCAGGCUGGGACAGGAGACCCGCAGGGCCGGCAGCCCCCCCUGCCCAGCGUGGGCCCUGUUUCUGCUCUCUCACCCCAGGCUGCCCGUGCUGGACACGGCGUUCGCAGCUGGAGAGCCUCACCCCACCCCGCUGGACUCCACCGACAGCAGCCGCUUCCCCCGCUGGUUCAUCCUGGGCCACCUGGAGACGCGCCAGUGCGAGCUGGCCUCCACCAUGCUCACGGCCGCCAAGGGAGACCCCAAGUGGCUGCACGCGGUGCUGGGCUCCAUCCAGCAGAACAUCCACUCGCCAGCGCUGCUCUUCAAGCUGGCGCAGGACGCCUGCAAGACGGCCACGCCGGCCAGCGCACCACCGGACGCCACGCUGCUGGGCAUCGCCCUGGAGCUCGGCCUGCAGGUGAGGCCAGGGUGGGCGUGGGAGGAGGCGCGGCCUGGGGCGGGGCCUGAGCUGGAGAGGGGGCGUGGCCCGGCUUGUGGCCACAAGGGGGGGGCCUGGGGCUUGCCUGCUAUUGGUUAAGGACCCUGGGUGGGUGGGGCUGAAGCCAAGGAUGGGCAGAACCUGCCAAUCAGAAGCUUUUGUGGGGGCAGGGCCUGAAGGGGGAAAAAACCACCCCCACCCCUGCUCUCGAGGAGGCGGGGCUAACGCUGAAGAACAGGGCGGGGGCUGGAGAGGCCUGUAGGUGAAGGGUCAACUGUGGGGGCGGGGGGCGGGACCUGCAGGGGCCCAAGCACUUGAGCUGUCACCUGCGGCCUCCCAGGUGCGCAUCAGCAGGGAGCUGGGAUUGGGAGCAGAGCCGGGACUUGAACUUCCGGCACUCCGAUCUGCGAUGCGGGUAUCCCAAACAGUGGCUACACCAGACCCAUUCCAUUUUUUUUUUUUUUUUUUUUAAUUUUUUGACAGGCAGAGUGGACAGUGAGAGAGAGAGACAGAGAGAAAGGUCUUCCUUUGCCGUUGGUUCACCCUCCAAUGGCCGCCGCGGCCAGCGCGCUGCGGCCGGCGCACCGCGCUGAUCCGAUGGCAGGAGCCAGGAGCCAGGUGCUUUUCCUGGUCUCCCGUGGGGUGCAGGGCCCAAGCACCUGGGCCAUCCUCCACUGCACUCCCUGGCCACAGCAGAGGGCUGGCCUGGAAGAGGGGCAACCGG
rnacentral:lncRNA from 1 species